AUUUCUUUAGUGUAAAUAACACAUUAUCCCUUCAAGAUAAAAAUAAUAAGAAAUG
rnacentral:tRNA from 3 species